AUUGAACGCUGGCGGCAGGCCUAACACAUGCAAGUCGAGCGGGGUUUUCGGACCUAGCGGCGGACGGGUGAGUAAUGCGUAGGAAGCUGCCCGAUAAAGGGGGAUACCAGUUGGAAACGACUGUUAAUACCGCAUAAUGUCUACGGACCAAAGUGUGGGACCUUCGGGCCACAUGCUAUCGGAUGCGCCUACGUGGGAUU
rnacentral:rRNA from 1 species